rnacentral:rRNA from 1 species
UACGAAGGGGCUAGCGUUGCUCGGAAUCACUGGGCGUAAAGGGUGCGUAGGCGGGUCUUUAGGUCAGGGUGAAUCCUGGAGCUCAACUCCAGAACUGCCUUUGAUACUGAAGAUCUUGAGUUCGGAGAGGUGAGUGGAACUGCGAGUGUAGAGGUGAAAUUCGUAGAUAUUCGCAAGAACACCAGUGGCGAAGGCGGCUCACUGGCCCGAUACUGACGCUGAGCACGAAAGCGUGGGAGCAACAGG